rnacentral:rRNA from 1 species
GGGGAAUAUUGGACAAUGGGCGGAAGCCUGAUCCAGCAACGCCGCGUGAGGGAUGACGGCCUUCGGGUUGUAAACCUCUUUCAGUACCGACGAAGCGCCGAUGAUGGUGGUGACGGUAGGUACAGAAGAAGCACCGGCCAACUACGUGCCAGCAGCCGCGGUAAUACGUAGGGUGCGAGCGUUGUCCGGAAUUAUUGGGCGUAAAGGGCUCGUAGGCGGUUUGUCGCGUCGGGAGUGAAAACACUGGGCUUAACUCAGUGCUUGCUUCCGAUACGGGCAGACUAGAGGCAUGCAGGGGAGAACGGAAUUCCUGGUGUAGCGGUGAAAUGCGCAGAUAUCAGGAGGAACACCGGUGGCGAAGGCGGUUCUCUGGGCAUGUCCUGACGCUGAGGAGCGAAAGUGUGGGGAGCGAAC